rnacentral:rRNA from 1 species
GACGAACGCUGGCGGCGUGCCUAAUACAUGCAAGUAGGACGCAGUUGCGCACGGGUGAGUAACGCGUAGGUAACGGCAUAUUAAAGGGGGAUAACUAUUGGAAACGCUAGCUAAUACCGCAUACUAGUAUAUGGACCUGCGUUGUAUUAGCUAGUAGGUAGGGUAAUGUCAUACCUAGGCGACGAUACAUCGCCGACAUGAGAGGGUGAGCGGCCAAAAGUGGACUGAGACACGGCCCAGCCUCCUACGGGAGGCAGCAGUAGGGAAUCUUCGGCAAUGGGGGGAACCCUGACCGAGAAACGCCGCGUGAGUGAAGAAGGUUUUCGGAUCGUAAAGCUCUGUUGUUAAGGAAGCGGUACUUAACCAGAAAGGGACGGCUAACUACGUGCCAGCAGCCGCGGUAAUUC